rnacentral:rRNA from 1 species
GACGAACGCUAGCGGCGGGCUUAACACAUGCAAGUCGAACGAGGAAGCGGGUGCUGGCACUCGUGGAUUAGUGGCGAACGGGCGAGGAACACGUGAGUAACCUGUCCUUUUCUUUGGGAGAACGGCUGGAAGGGGCUGGUAGUACUGAAUAUGCAUGCCGCAUCUCAGGGGGUGGUUUGGAAAGGCAUUGUCUGGGAGUAGGUGGGCGCGCGGCCUAGCCGCUUGUUGGUGGGGUGAUUGCUUACCUAGGCUUUGACGGGUAGCUGGCAUGGGAGGGUGGUCGGUAGCAGUGGGACUGAGAUACGGCCCAGACUCCUACGGGAGGCAGCAGUGGGGAAUAUUGAACAAUGGACGAACGGUUGAUGCAGCGACGCGGGGUGGAGGGUGUAGGUCUUCGGGUUGUGCACUUCUUUUUCGCGCGAAAAAGGCACAGUUUUGGCUGUGUUGAUGGUAGUGGGAGAAGAAGCGCCGGCUAACUACGUG